AACUUAGUUAGUUUAAUAAUUUAGAGGUUGUUAGUCAUUACUAUAAGGGUUGACAAAAAAGCCUAUGAGUGCAUCUAUAAUCAUUCACAUGAUUUAGGAGUUGGAAUUAUAAUUUUAUAAAUGAUUUAGGGAAGUUAGCAAUGAUAAUUUUGGAUUUUAUUCCAAAUUUGACAAAUUCAAGCGGCAUGGUGGUUCUUCUAGUUAAUGGGAG
rnacentral:lncRNA from 1 species